rnacentral:lncRNA from 1 species
UUUUUUUUUGAACGAAUGGUAGUUUGGGAAAUACGGAGUGAAUGGAUGGUAGAUUGAAAUAUAUUUCUUUAAAACAUGGUAUUACUGUAAAAAAUUCGCUUUUUGCAUUUGGAAAUGAAGUUAAUGUUAGUAAGCAAAUAUGGAAGUUAGUUAAUGAAAUCGGUUAGCUUAUUAGGACAAUUAGGAUUUAUGCAAUUAGUUUUAUUAAUGUUUGUUAGGUUAACUGCUCAGUCGAGCAAAAUUCAUUGAAUUAAACUGAAUCCAUCUAGCAUUCCACUUGCCAUUUCCUGAGUUCCUUGUUACUGCAUGCUCUGACUUGGCCUGCUAGGUAUGCAGGGUUUAUACCCAUGGUUUACAAACUCGUUCAUGCAUCUGCUCAUGCUUCUCUCUUUGGCACUUAAUGCAGGAAAAUAUACUAAUGUUUGCAGAGUUAAGGCCAUCUGGUUUGGUCCAUGCUACCAUGAGCCAUGUGAUUAGGAUUGAUAUAUCUUAAGUUAGGCCUUAGUUCAAAUGAAUGUACCCUUGUAAUGUGUGAUGUAUUGCUUGUGUGAAUGUUACAUGAUGUAGGGUUGCAAUGGUCAUGUUUGGAAUUGGCUUAGCUUGGCAAUGACAUCAUGAUCAAGGAAAGGCAAAGUGAAACCAAGGCAUGACCAUCUUGAAGAGGGAUUUCUUGCUUAUGACAAUGAUGGAAACUCAUGGAGUUAUUGAAGAUGUAAUGAGCAUUAGGUUUAGGAAAAAUGUAAUGGGAUUGACUUUGGUCAACUAGUUGACCAAAAAGUCAACAGUUGACCAAAAAGUCAACAGUUGACCAAAAAUUAACUUUUCUAAAAAGGUAAUUUUUAUUUCUCUUUUUAUAAGGAACAUUCUAUUCUAAUGAAUGAAUGAAUGAUCAUGAUUGAAUGUGAAACAAAAUUUGACCUUUGAAUGAAUUUCAACUAAAAACCAAGUUUGAUCUAUGAAUGAAUGAAUCACCUUUAAGUA